UCUCCUUUCUCUGUUUGAAGCCCUAACACUCACUGAAACGCAACUCUUGGUAGAUCUUUGCUCGAAUCAAAGCUCAAAAUUGAAGGAACAGGAACAUCCGGAACAGAGAGCUUUGAUGAUGCCAAUGAUAAGAGUUUUGGUUAUAAUGAAGAGUAGUUGUUGUUAGUUUGUUGAUUAUUCAGUUUUUUAGCUUUUAUGAUGUUUGAACUAUGUUUUCUUAUACUAUUUGGACUAUGUCCGCUUUAAAAUAUUUGUAAAAUCAUCUUAAUUAUGUAACAACGAUCAUAUAUGAGCAAAAGUGUGUUUUCUAACAA